rnacentral:rRNA from 1 species
CAUGGCUCAGGACGAACGCUGGCGGCGUGCUUAACACAUGCAAGUCGAACGGGACUAGAAAAGCUUGCUUUGCUAGUCUAGUGGCAAACGGGUGAGUAACACGUAGACAACCUGCCGAUAGGAUGGGGACAACAUUCCGAAAGGAAUGCUAAUACCGAAUGAAGUGUAGGGAAGGCAUCUUCCCUACAUGAAAGAUGGCCUCUAUAUAUAAGCUAUCACCUAUUGAUGGGUCUGCGUCUGAUUAGCUAGUAGGUAAGGUAACGGCUUACCUAGGCGACGAUCAGUAGCCGGUCUGAGAGGAUGAACGGCCACAUUGGGACUGAGACACGGCCCAGACUCCUACGG